rnacentral:rRNA from 1 species
CAAUAGCGUAUAUUUAAGUUGUUGCAGUUAAAAAGCUCGUAGUUGGAUUUCUGCCGAGGACGACCGGUCCGCCCUCUGGGUGAGUAUCUGGCUCGGCCUGGGCAUCUUCUUGGAGAACGUAGCUGCACUUGACUGUGUGGUGCGGUAUCCAGGACUUUUACUUUGAGGAAAUUAGAGUGUUUCAAGCAGGCUUACGCCUUGAAUACAUUAGCAUGGAAUAAUAAGAUAGGACCUCGGUUCUAUUUUGUUGGUUUCUAGAGCUGAGGUAAUGAUUAAUAGGGAUAGUUGGGGGCAUUCGUAUUUAACUGUCAGAGGUGAAAUUCUUGGAUUUACGCAAGACAAACAGCUGCGAAAGCGUCUGCCAAGGAUGUUUUCAUUAA